CCUACGGGAGGCAGCAGUGGGGAAUAUUGGACAAUGGGGGCAACCCUGAUCCAGCCAUGCCGCGUGUGUGAAGAAGGCCCUCGGGUUGUAAAGCACUUUCAGUGAGGAAGAACGCCUGGUGGUUAAUACCCAUCAGGAAAGACAUCACUCACAGAAGAAGCACCGGCUAACUCCGUGCCAGCAGCCGCGGUAAUACGGAGGGUGCGAGCGUUAAUCGGAAUUACUGGGCGUAAAGCGCGCGUAGGUGGCUUGAUAAGCCGGGUGUGAAAGCCCCGGGCUCAACCUGGGAACGGCAUCCGGAACUGUCAAGCUAGAGUGCAGGAGAGGAAGGUAGAAUUCCCGGUGUAGCGGUGAAAUGCGUAGAGAUCGGGAGGAAUACCAGUGGCGAAGGCGGCCUUCUGGACUGACACUGACACUGAGGUGCGAAAGCGUGGGUAGCAAACAGGAUUAGAUACCCUGGUAGUC
rnacentral:rRNA from 1 species